CCUACGGGAGACAGCAGUGAGGAAUAUUGGUCAAUGGGCGCGAGCCUGAACCAGCCAAGUAGCGUGAAGGAUGACUGCCCUACGGGUUGUAAACUUCUUUUAUAAAGGAAUAAAGUGAGGCACGUGUGCCUUUUUGUAUGUACUUUAUGAAUAAGGAUCGGCUAACUCCGUGCCAGCAGCCGCGGUAAUACGGAGGCUCCGAGCGUUAUCCGGAUUUAAUGGGUUUAAAGGGAGCGUAGAUGGGUUGUUAAGUCAGUGGUGAAAGGUUGCGGCUCAACCGUAAAAUUGCAAUUGAUACUGGCAGUCUUGAGUACAGGUGAGGUAGGCGGAAUGCGUGGUGUAGCGGUGAAAUGCUUAGAUAUCACGAAGAACUCCGAUUGCGAAGGCAGCUUACUAAACUGCCACUGACAUUGAUGCUCGAAAGUGUGGGUAUCAAACAGGAUUAGAUACCCGUGUAGUC
rnacentral:rRNA from 1 species